rnacentral:lncRNA from 1 species
GGGGAGGGGAGGGGGAUAGCAGAGGACAGGAAAGGCAGCAGAAUACAACAGACACUAGUAUGGCAGUAUGUAAAAACGUGGAUGUGUAACCGAUGUGAUUCUGCAAUCUGUAUACGGGGGAAAAACGGGAGUUCAUAACCCACUGGAAUCAAAUGUAUGAAAUAUGAUAUGUCAAGAGCUUUGUCAUGUUUUGAAGAACUAAUAAAAAAAAGUCUCCUGGAACUAGGGAUCAACGCCUGGCUCCACAGGGGCAGGGGGCAGGUUAUGAAUCCCCCCAGGGAAGCCCAGAGAGCCUCCUGGGUGGGGCUGGGCAGCAGCCACUCCACGUCAUGCACAUGGAGACCUUUGUCCCUUGGAGAGGCUGGUGCUUUUCUCAGGAAGCUCAGGGAACCCAGGGGCAGAGCGUCUGCGCCCGUCAGUAACCACAACAGCCUGCCUACAGCACAGGGCACAACACCCGCAAGAGGAGGCCCCCAGGUCCCCAAGGUCCCCACCUGUUCCCAGAAAGACGCUGAAGCUCCUCCCCGUCCCUCGCUGACUGUCCCCUCCUUACUCCUGUCCUGCCUCUGGACCCCCAGGCCCUGACCCGGGAAGCUGACUCCUGAGUCCUCCCUCUGCAGGCAGAACCAUGGGGGAGGGGUGGUGAGCACCUCUGUCCCCCUGAGGGGAUGGCAGGUCCUCAGAGGAGCUGACCACUGUCUCCUGAAUCAUCCUCAGCCUGGGUGGACAGACGGGAAACAGCUGUGUGGGCUGUGGGGACGGCAGCUCAUGCGAGUGUCCAGGUCUCUGUACCCGCCAAAACUGUGACUGACAGGCGCCGCCACCCACACUCCCCUGACCCCCCCCCCACGUGAACAGGAGAAAAGGUGACGCAGCCCAGUGACCCCCGCACUCCCCCGAGCUCGGAGGCAGCUGCGCCCCCGCACUCCUGUGAGAGGGACUCCCCGUCCACCCCUCUCACAGCUCCCAGUGUCCACUAGAAAUGGCUCAGAUCUCACCCGACACCUUUCAUCCUUUAAAAACUAACUUCUGUUUUCAGCCAAAGUACAACCACACACAGUAAAAUGUGAACAUCUUCCACGUGCAACUCCAGGUUCUGGGAAGUACAGACCCAAGGGGCCAGAAUCCCAACCAAACAACUGUUCCCAGCAGCCAGAGUCCCUGAGAGCCGGGAAUUCUGUGCAUAUUCUGUAUAUGUUCUAGGUUCAGUGAGAUGAAACACAGCCACGUGUGAGUG